ACUUUGAAAAAAUUAGAGUGCUCAGAGCAGGCGCGACGCCUGGAUAAUGGUGCAUGGAAUAAUGGAAUAGGACCUCGGUUCUAUUUUGUUGGUUUUCGGAACUCGAGGUAAUGAUUAAGAGGGACAGACGGGGGCAUUCGUAUAGCGACGCUAGAGGUGAAAUUCUUGGACCGUCGCUCGACGAACUACUGCGAAAGCAUUUGCCAAGAAUGUUUCCAUUAAUCAAGAACGAAAGUCAGAGGUUCGAAGGCGAUCAGAUACCGCCCUAGUUCUGACCAUAAACGAUGCCAGCUAGCGAUCCGGCUGCGUUCCUCAAAUGACGCGCCGGGCAGCUUCCGGGAAACCAAAGCUUUUGGGUUCCGGGGGGAGUAUGGUUGCAAAGCUUAAACUUAAAGGAAUUGACGGAAGCGCACACAAGGAUUGGGGCCUGCGGUUUAAUUUGACUCAACACGGUGCAACUCACUCGGCCCGGACACAGGAAGGAUUGACAGAUUAAGAGCUCUUUCUUGAUUCUGUGAUAGGUGGUGCAUGGCCGUUUCUGGUUGGUGGAGUGAUUUGUCUGCUUUAUUGCGAUAACGAGCGAGACUCUGACCUGCUAAAUAGGCGUCGCGAUCCUUCUGAGUCGCGCGCUCUUCUUAGAGGGACAGGCGGUGUUCAGCCGCACGAAAAAGAGCAAAAACAGGUCAGGAUGCCCUCAGAUGUUCGGGGCCACACGCGCGCCACAUUGAAGGAAUCAGCGUGUGCUUUCCCUGUCCGACAGGACUGGGUAACCCGUUGAACCUCCUUCGUGCUGGGGAUAGGAAAUUGUAAUUGUUUUCCUUGAACGAGGAAUUCCCAGUAAGCAUGAGUCAUCAGCUCGUGUUGAUUACGUCCCUGCGCUUUGUCCACACCGCCCGUCGCUAUUAUCGAUGAAUUUUGGAGUAAGAUCUU
rnacentral:rRNA from 1 species